CAGGAAAUGGUCCCGUACGGACGGAGGUUCAUGACGACAUAACCCUGGACACGGACACCACAGGCACAGGCACAGCAACGGAAACGCUCCCGCUUGCUACAGAAUACGUUCCCGACCAAGACAACAGCCAACUUCGGGACGUUCAACACUUCAUCAGGGAUGAGA
rnacentral:ribozyme from 1 species